AUGGCUCAGGAUGAACGCUAGCUACAGGCUUAACACAUGCAAGUCGAGGGGCAGCAUUGGAGUAGCAAUACUCAGAUGGCGACCGGCGCACGGGUGAGUAACACGUAUCCAACCUGCCGCUUACUCGGGGAUAGCCUUUCGAAAGAAAGAUUAAUACCCGAUGGUAUAAAGAGUUCGCAUGUUCUCUUUAUUAAAGAAUUUCGGUAAGCGAUGGGGAUGCGUUCCAUUAGAUAGUUGGCGGGGUAACGGCCCACCAAGUCUACGAUGGAUAGGGGUUCUGAGAGGAAGGUCCCCCACAUUGGAACUGAGACACGGUCCAAACUCCUACGGGAGGCAGCAGUGAGGAAUAUUGGUCAAUGGACGAGAGUCUGAACCAGCCAAAGUAGCGUGAAGGAUGACUGCCCUAUGGGUUGUAAACUUCUUUUAUAAGGGAAUAAAGUGAGGGACGUGUCCCUUUUGUAUGUACCUUAUGAAUAAGGAUCGGCUAACUCCGUGCCAGCCGCCGC
rnacentral:rRNA from 1 species